rnacentral:rRNA from 1 species
AGAGUUUGAUCCUGGCUCAGAUUGAACGCUGGCGGCGUGCCUAACACAUGCAAGUCGAGCGAUGAAGGGAGCUUGCUCCCGGAUUAGCGGCGCACGGGUGAGUAACGCGUGGAUAAUCUACCCACGAGAUCGGGAUACCAGCUGGAAACGGCUGACAAUACCGGGUAACAUACAAUAUUACUAUUGUGUCAAAGGCGGGGCAACCUGUCGCUUGUGGAUGAGUCCGCGUCUCAUUAGCUAGUUGGUAAGGUAAUGGCUUACCAAGGCAAUGAUGAGUAGCCGGCCUGAGAGGGUAAUCGGCCACACUGGGACUGGAACACGGCCCAGACUCCUACGGGAGGCAGCAGUGGGGAAUAUUGCGCAAUGGACGAAAGUCUGACGCAGCGACGCCGCGUGAGGGAUGAAGGCCUUCGGGUUGUAAACCUCUGUCAGGAGGGAAGAACCGCCAUGGUAGUAACUGCCCAUGGUCUGACGGUACCUCCAAAGGAAGCACCGGCUAACUCCGUGCCAGCAGCCGCGGUAAUACGGAGGGUGCAAGCGUUAAUCGGAAUCACUGGGCGUAAAGCGCGCGUAGGCGGCUUUGUAAGUCAGAGGUGAAAGCCCACGGCUCAACCGUGGAACUGCCUUUGAUACUGCAAGGCUACGAGUUUGUGAGAGGAUAGUGGAAUUCCUGGUGUAGGAGUGAAAUCCGUAGAGAUCAGGAGGAACAUCAGUGGCGAAGGCGACUGUCUGGCACAACACUGACGCUGAGGUGCGAAAGCGUGGGUAUCAAACAGGAUUAGAUACCCUGGUAGUCG